UUAACUCGAAUUUGUAUGGAGUUGGAACGCUUGCCUACGUUUGCCGCUAAGGGCGCUGUUUAAACUGCAUGCAAAGGACA
rfam:Bombyx mori DNA, contig: Bm_scaf111_contig37377, strain: p50T/Dazao, build 2, whole genome shotgun sequence.